rnacentral:lncRNA from 1 species
CGGGGCAGCAGCCGCGGCGAUGAAUGGUGGCUAUUAUCAAGGAAUGCAGCAGAUGCAACCAAAUCCUUAUCAUCAGCAGCAGCAGCAGCAUCAACAACAACAGCAGCAGCAGCAAUACAUGGCUAUGAUGAUGCAGCAACAACAACAGCAACAAAUGCAGCAACAACUGCAGCAGCAACAAAUGCAGCAAGGAAACAUGAACAACAUGUAUCCACAACAUAUGAUGUAUGGAGGUGGAAGGCCACAUCCA